GAGUGACAGUUAAGUGGGACACUUACUGGAUUCUGUAGCUGUCAGCACCUCUCUGCCUGUGCCUAUAGCAGCACUCCCAUCUAGGCCAUCAUCCCCAUCACCUGAAGGACAGACAAAGCCCUUAUACUCACUGCCUGGACCAUCCAGGGUAUACCCCAGUCCCAUCUCUGCCUCACCAAACUCCAGGACCAUGGUCUCAGGGAUUCGGAAGCAGUGCAUCUUGCUGAAGUUUCGGGACAACAAGCGCACACUCGAAGGAGGCAGUACCAUGGAGCGUAGACGUCCAAAUGUACACUCAGGUGUGAGUGCUGUGGAGCACACUGAGUGAGCCUGAUAGGGCAAAGAUCCUGCUUGGGAGUGCCUACUUCAAUCCAGCUAUACUACCAUGAGACCUGGACUGGGGCUAGCCUGGCUGAUUGUGGGACAGGCCAGCAAGACUACCAGGCACCUGUCUUAUUAGAUUCAGGAGCUUCCAACACCCCUCAGAUUCACCCUCUUGAAGGCACAGUGACUGUGAACAUGUGAUGGCAAGUUACCUUCCUAUGAAAACAGAUCAUAAGGAUCAGGUCUUAACUUGAUUGGUCCUUAGCCCAAGACUUAAAGCACAUUCAAUAAGCAGAAAAAAAAAAACUGCACACUAGAAGGGUGGUAUGUAUGUCAGAACAGAAGAUGAUUUCUAAGUAUAUCCUCUGAGUGUAUUUGAAAUCAUAUUAGUAUUUCUUCUCAUCACAAGUAUAAAUAAGUAGGCAUUGAGAUUGUUUUAAAAGAGUACCACCUCAACAUGUUCAUGUUCGUCCACAAGGGCAACACUCUGGCAAGGAUAGCUUCCUAAGACAGCAGCCAGCCUCCUUGGAUCCCUUUGUACUCACACCUAGUAAUCAAGUAUCCACCAAGCAGCAAUGUUAAAGCAAAAGCUGACAGUGUUCAGAGCAGUCAUCAGUGUCAACUGCUGCUUACUGUGGUGCCUCAUCCCCACACCCUCAUUUACUUGCCUCCUGUCCUCCACUGCUGGGAGAGGGGCCCCACUUAGUAGUGCCCUCCACUGCUGGGAGGCAAGCCCCACCUAUUAGUGCAGGCAAGUACAAGUUCGGAGCAGCUGAGCUACCAGUGAUCUGGCUUUGUGAAUGCAGCUGAUGGGAGGUGAGUUCACUUUGCUCACCUGUUUAAGCUGUGUCUGGCUAUGUUGCUCUCACCAGUAUCAGAAAGGAAGUCUCUCUACCUGCUAGGAGCCUCACUGCUCUCUCCAGAGCCCUGUGGAGGAAGGUCAAUGGCCAAACAUGCUCCACUCCAAGGCUCUGAGGCUUUUACAAAAACCUGUUAUGUUAUAACCUCUAAAGGUUUAUGUGCACUUGUAAGAGGCAAUCUAGAGACCCCCUGUGCUCUUUACGUAUUUUCCAGUGUUAACAACUUACAAAACUAGUCAGUGUCACAGCCAGAGCACUGAGAGUGCAUGCAGUCCAAGUAAAGUACCCAGACUCCAGGACUCCUCGUUUGCAGCUACAUCCUCUUCCUAACCUGGAACCUCUGAUCUGUGUUCCUCUGGCUUCCUCAUUCAGAGUGUUCCAUAGACAAGAAUACACCCUUGGACACUGACUUUUCUCUGUCUCUAGAAAUCCACUCAAGGUGCUCAGCUCUUCAACACCUCCUACCUUUUGAUUGUGAGCAGAACUAUGAUGUGGAUAAACU